CCUCUUCUCCUUCACUGUCUGCGUUGAAGCUACACUCUGCAGCAUGUGGCUCUCACAGGGCGUGAUGCUUCUACAUCUAAAUAUGAAGUUUGCUGCAGACGAACCACCCUGAAAAGGCGCUUUUCCUCCUGCGGAAUGAAGCUAAUCUUCCUACAACAGAUCAGAUGCGAAGUCCUUCGUAAUGAAAGGUUCACGUGGGUCCUCGUUGACACUGGCUGAAAAUGAGGAGGCCUGGUGAAAGGUGAGGGUCCUCAUUGAGACUGGCUGAAAAUGAUGCGGGCCUGGUGAAAGGUCCUGAUCAGUAUGACGUCCCUUUGGUGCUGAGAAAAGUUGCUCAGGUUCACGUGGGUCCUUGUUGACUCUGAAAAUGAAGAGACCUGGUGAAAGGUUCAUGAGGGUCCUCGUUGAGACUGGCUGAAAAUGAUGCGGGCCUGGUGAAAGCAGGUCCUGAUCAGUAAUGAAAGACUGACAUCCCUUUGGUGCUGAGAAAAGUUCCUCGGGUUCAUGUGGGUCCUCGUUGACACUCUGAAAAUGAGGAGGCCUGGUGAAAGGUUCUUGAGGGUCCUCGUUGGAUCGGUUGAAAAUGAUGUGGCCUGGUGAAAGGUUCUUGAGGGUCCUCGUUGGGUCGGUUGAAAAUGAUGUGGCCUGGUGAAAGGUCCUAUUCAGUAAUGAAAGCCUAUGACGUCCCUCUGGUGCUGAGAAAAGUUGCUCAGAACAAAUGUAAGGAGAAACGGCUUGGAUUGAUCCAGAAGUCAGACUCUGCAGUAGAUUUGUUGGUGUACAAAUGAAAAACAAUGUUUGCUCUAAAACGUGUUUAAUAAAAUUGUUUGUAUAAAACAUUCAAGUACAAUGGCACGAAUCUUACUGGGAGUGCCCAGCAUGCAUUGGUCAAUCUGUGUUGAAGGUCGAUCUGUAAGAUUUCUUCUUUAAAUUCUCCAAGAACACUUGCUCUUCUUGGAGGUAUUCACGGUCCUGUGGAGAAAGGCAUUAGGAAGAAACAAAAGUUGUUUUAAAUGUACUACUACUGAUGAAUGUGACCGUGAGCCACUGUGGCAUUUUGUUCCUAUUGACAUUAAAAACCUCAAUAU